UCCAUAAAAACAACAAUUUUAGGGAUCAAUUAUCCAAAAUCAUUAAAUCACCAGCAGUACUCACAGCUGUAAAAACAUCUGCAUUAUAGGCUCUGCUUCUUCCUAAGAGACAGAGAUGUAAUGGAUUCUCUCAUUCUGGCAUAAUUGUAUAGCUUCUGGUUUGUGUUAUGUUGGGAACGUGGGUGGGGGAGGUAGGACGGAGGCAUCUUGCCUUGCCUUAAACUGAUUCGUGUUCGUCUGGUCAUGAAACACAUGGCUACACUGAGAAACAGAGCGCAGACCAUAAUCCAGCAAGCAGCAUCCCCUCUUUUACACCCCACAGGCUCUAUCUUCUCAGUGUUAUGGAGGAAAAUAAUUUCACAGCCAGUAAACUAGGAUACUGUGUUCUCCAAGGAAAGAAUUUGUGCGCUAUGCUGCUGCAUAAUGGCCAUAGGAGGGUUGCUCUGUGAAACCCUUUCCUUCUCUCUCCCUGCCAGUAGUUGCCUUAGUGACAAAACUAAUCGCUGCUGGUGCCCCUGCUCCCAUGAACAGGAGGAAAACAAAGCCAUUUUUAUUGCCGUUCCAGCAAUCCUCUGCAAGUCUGUUCUCAAGACAGAAUGUGCUGAUUAAAAAGAUACGUUGCGGGCAUUAGAGUAACACAAUGAAAAGGCAGAGUGCAGUGCAUGAAUCUUUUCUCUCAGCGGUGCCGUUUGAAGAACUUCUUGAAGUCAGUGGGAGCAUAACUGGGCUACUUGAAAGGAACUACCUUUUGGACAUGCAGUCCCUUAUUAUGAGUUUUCUCCUGGGUGAUUCUACAGCCAGAAGGAGGCUUCAGUGUCCUGUUCGGUGACUAAGUCAACCUACACCCCUUCCUCCUUCAGUUAGGAACAAGUUGUAUAUUGAUAGAGAACGAUGCUGUAUCAUGUCCAGAUGAUGAAACUGCUAAGCGCAAGUCCAAAGACAGCUGCAUGGCAUGAUUCCUGAACAUACCAACCACCACUAGCCAGAAACCUGGGCCGUAGUGAUGCAAUGGGUAUGAUUCCUUUUCCCAAUGAGAUCUGUAUCAGACAUCUACAUACCAGGCUGUUUUGGCUGAAGGUUUACUAUUUAGCUUGAGAUAUUUUAUUCUUCAGCUUCAUCGUGUUGUCUAUGCAGAAAGACAGUUUCUCUAGAGACUGAUUUCAGGCAGGAUUUUAUUUCAGCAGUUAUGAUUCUCAUGAAAUAAAACCUUUUUCUCUCUCUUGUCUGUAGAUGAUAGCCAGUGAGAUUUUUUUUUAAGCAAAGUUGGUCCUUGAGAAUCUCCCCUCAUUUCUUACAGAGAGAAAUGAAGAGUAUGGUGCUAUUACCCUUACAAUACUCAUCCUGAAAUUCCUCUCCUAGUUUUUUCUGCUUCCAGCCCUUCGGAUAAAAUGCUGAGGAAACCACAUCCAGCCAACAGUGAGUGCUGUCUGGAACCAACCGUCCAAACUCAGAACUGAUGGUGGGACCCUUCCCUCCCAGAACCUUUGCCAGUUCUAUUUUUUUUUUUCUGGUUUAACGACUCGUUUUCUCUUUAAGAGACUUUUUUUGACAGUGUUAACAUGGGAGCAUGGUUAACAUUUCUAAUAUCUUGAAAAAGCAGUGUUUCCCUUCUUAUAGAGAAAGGGUGAAUCAGCAGUCCCUAAUACCCUGAUUGAUAUGGAUUGUGUCUUUCUUAAUAUAUAUACAGCAUCCUUUGCUAGGGAGUACUCUUUGUGUCUAGAAGCAUGGGUGUAUCAUACAGUAAAGUCAUGUAUCAUUCUGAAUACAGAGGAAAACUUGUUAGAGACAGAACCAUAUAAUCCAUAGCUCUGCCAGCACAGUGUGGCAACCAAACUAAUUAGCUCCACAGAGAAACAAGGUUAAUCAGCCCAGACACAACAUCACAUCAGUUAAGUUUUAUCAUUUGAACAGCUCAGCUAAUAACUCCAAAUAUCAAUGUGAAAAGACACUCAGUAUGGAUAACACCUUCUGCUGCACUCCAUCAGUAUGGUGCAUAUGCACAAGGCCAUCGCCUUAAUGAUGUAAUCAAUGGGUAAUUUGCAUAACUGAUUUCAGAGCAGAUCCAACAGUUUAGCUGUUCAGGAUGCCAAAUGAAUCAGAGUGGGCUGAGAGUAUUAAUGGGAAUUCUCAAUUAACUGGAAGGGUUUUGUAACUGAUCAUAGCAUGAAAUGAUAAUAAAAACAACUAGCAAUCUCCUUCAUAAAUUUUAUGUGUAAAUAACUUUUUAAAACAUUCCAAAAGGAAAUGACCUAAGUAAUGAACCGUGUUUAUCUUCUUAUUUCCAAUAUCUAAGCAGCUACAGAAGAUGGCAUUUCUGAUUCUGUCAUCCUCAAAACUGACAAAGAAUGGGAAAGCAGCAGACAUUAAGUGAAAAUUAAAGUUAGAUAAAUAAAACCAGAGAUGAGAGCACACUGUAGAGCAGAGCAGCAGAAACAGUUAGCAGAAAUCUUCGUUGUGAGUGUCUUUGAAUCUGCAUCAACUAGAGACAAAUUACUGGUUGAGAAAAUGAAGCUGCUGGAUGGGAUUCUGUGCUGUGACAGAGGUUGGGCGGGAGGAGCUGCAGGUUUCCUUUUGGCAGACAAUGUAGACAGACAGAGUGGUGGCAGCUGAGUGGCACCAAAGGGCUAGCAUGAGUUGAUGCAAUGUUUGACUGGAUGUCAAGAGAAGAGAAGCUCUCGUUUUGCACUGAAUUGAUGGCAGAAGAAUUUUUUCUUCCUGUGCUUCCAUGAAUUGUUACCUUUGUUUUGGUAAGACUGUGCUGAAAGUCCAAAUUAAUGACUCAGUUAAAAUUAUUAUAUCAUCAGCAGAGCAAUGGUUAUUGAUCAGAUGCUCUCUGUCAACUACACGGCACAUGUAAUGUACUGUAUUUUAAAUUAAGCUCACUGAAAUAAUUUGAAGCAAAGUUCCCUUACUUAGCAUUUAUGAAAAAGCUGGAAAAAACUGUAUAAAAGAACUUAGUUAUGCUGCAUUAAUGUUUCCUAUGGGUUUAUAUUGUGAAUACGGGCUGUUACAGAAUCUUAGCCGACUUGCCACAUUAUGAUAAUUAAAAUCUGAAACUGAAUAUUAAGAGAAAAUACUUCCUUUGCUCUUCAAGCGUUUGUUUUAUAAUGGUGACCUCUGCAUGGAAUAUUAUUCACUGCCUUGUAGCAGGAUUGAGUAACACAGAGGAAUUGUAUCACUUCCCGUAAUACCCAGGUGCACAAGAAGGAAUAACUGGUUUGCAUCCAGUUCCAUAAGUCUUCUUGAAAUACUAUGCUCUGCUUUGAACCUCUGUCUGUCUCAUGUAUCCUCUUUGUUUCAAGAAUCAUGCUCAAAAUGAACAGAAACACUGCAAAACAGAAAUAGUCUCACAAUUUGCCCCAUCAUGAUAAUGUUCUUUGCUGUACACCUAUCACUAUAAAGA